AUUUUAUUUUCUUCCCCUCUUCAACUUUUCAAGCUGGUGUUAAUUAAAGUGCUUUUAAGCGAGCAAUGUCUCGCCUUUGUCCCGAAAGGCGUAGCCCACAAGUGUAGCCUAGUUUUGUCCCCUUGUCGAUUUAACUCCCGAAGUGUUACGAUAUACUGUUACACUAGUAAUAUUUUAAAGUCCAUGUAAAUAUAUAAUGGGAUAAAAUAUACAAUGGGAUUAAUUCAUAACCAAUUACGACAAUAAUACCAUGAAUAUUUUCAUUACACAUAAUUAAUUACAUGGUAACAUAUUUAUUUGGUGAUGCCUAUUUUAAAAUUCGUUUUCAAUAAUAUCAACAACGACUUGAACAUUAACACAACACUUGUUGUAGAUAAUAUAGCCUCAAGGGAUAUUCUAUUAGUAUUUUAUUCCAAUUCAUGUAGUCAACAUUUAGCUUAACGCAGAACAAUAAAACAAAUAUUAUCUUAUUAUUAUUGCAUACCUUUCUAUCUUGUAAUUUUUUUGCAUAACACAUCUUUGUCGUUUUCCGCUACAAAUGAUUUGUUUGGACCAGGCUGCCAUUUGUCACUUGCCUCUCGCUCAAACACCCUGCAGUGUGCGGGUCAAGCUCCUCUCGCCCAACACGUCCCACGAUGGAAACAUAUGUGAAGGCCUACAUUUUAAACCAUCAUGUUGUCUAUUCGGUGUCAGACAGACAGUUUCUGACUUUUUAACAUCGAAUAAGAUGAUCCAGUCUCUCCCUCUUCAGCGUGCUACGCAGACAAGACCCAGAAAACUGGGCACAUGUUCAUUAUCUAGGCAUUUUGCCAAACUCUUUCUAGCACUCUACCUGGGUAGUAUCUUAAAUUACAGGAAUACAUGAGAAAACAGUAGAAUCCAGUCGCAGUUGUAGAUGCUACUUCACCCGGUCAGCUUCUACCCUCCAACCCGCCAAAGAUGUAUCCCUGGCUGGAACAGAAAACUUAUCGAGACAGACAUAGGCAAUUUUUCUGCUCAGCGCACAUUUCCUCCUCAAAACUCUUCUUCCUGAGCGUCUCACUUCCCUGUGACAGCUGCAGCCAGCAUUGCGAUGCUCUGAGCCUGCUUCACUGAGGGCAUGUCGAUCAUACUGCCCCGGAGGUGAAGGCACCCUGGAGACAGGAGAAGAGAUUCUUCAAAGUAGCCACACUUUGCCUUGAUGACAGCUUUGCAGACUCUUGGCA